AAGGGCAAAAGCUGUAGGGGCUAAGACAGCUAAGAGUGUUCCUCGUUCGCCCCACAAAAUGUCUUCACUCAUCAGUCUUUCUCAGCUCUUGUUUAAGUUCAAUGCUCCCAAAAACCCACGCCCUCUUCACUCUCACACACACAUGCAUUCUUUGACCUUUCCUUUCUUAUCCAUUUUCUUCCUACAUAUUAGUACCAAACUGCAAAACCA
rnacentral:lncRNA from 1 species